rfam:Desulfosporosinus sp. OT TOT.assembly.123, whole genome shotgun sequence.
GUCAACAACCACUAUCCUAAAGGGAUAGUGGCUUGUAGGAAACUAUAAGCUAAUGUUGACAAGACUAAGCAUUAACUUGCUAUGUUAUAUAAGCCAUCAUACCCGUUGACGUUUGUCUAAUCUACGGCUCUAUGGUCUAGCAUUAAACAGUUCUGUGUGGUGCGGAACAGGCAGUAUCAGUUGCAAAUCUUUCAAUUAAUUGAGAGAAGAAAAAGUCUAU